AAGUGAGGCAGCAGCCAAGCAGCACCAAGUUGCUGUGUAAGCAGUGGGAUGUUCCCUAGAAACUGCUUGGAGCUGAGCCAAGGAACUUCAAGGGACUGAGCAAGCAAAGGCAAGAAAGAAUGAAGAAGGGAACUGAGGCAGCAGCCAAGCAGCACCAAGCUCCUCUACAACCAGGGAAGCUGUAGAGGGGGGCUCUUCCUUUCCCUGCACUGUAGGUGCAGGAGAGGCUCACCACUGAAGCUGAGCCAGGAGACUGGGCCGUGGAGGUAGGCCCGGCGCUCGGGGAAGAGUCCCAGGUGGAAUUGGAGCCGAGCCCAGAGCUGGGGAGCUGCUGCCAAAGCUGAGCGGGGGCAGCCGAGAACUGCUGUGGAGGAAGGAAGAUUCCAGGCCGGGGACCUGGAUAAGCUGCACUGCAGCAGCCCCUGGACCAAGGGGAGACCCCCAGAGGGAGAGAUCACCAGCAGCAGAAGAGCAAGGACUCACAGCUGUCUUCUUGGAGUUGGUGAGGAGAGAAACUGAACAACCAACUGGAACUUGGGGAGGGGGGAGCGCUCAGGAGCC